rnacentral:rRNA from 1 species
UACAGAGGGUGCAAGCGUUAAUCGGAUUUACUGGGCGUAAAGGGCGCGUAGGUGGUUAUUUAAGUGAGAUGUGAAAGCCCCGGGCUUAACCUGGGAACUGCAUCUUAUACUGGGUAACUGGAGUGCAAUAGAGGGUAGUGGAAUUUCCGGUGUAGCGGUGAAAUGCGUAGAUAUCGGAAGGAACACCAGUGGCGAAGGCGGCUACCUGGAUUGACACUGACACUGGAGGCGCGAGAGCGUGGGGAGCAAACAGG